GACGAACGCUGGCGGCGUGCUUAACACAUGCAAGUCGAACGGAAAGGCCCUGCUUUUGUGGGGUGCUCGAGUGGCGAACGGGUGAGUAACACGUGAGUAACCUGCCCUUGACUUUGGGAUAACUUCAGGAAACUGGGGCUAAUACCGGAUAGGAGCUCCUGCUGCAUGGUGGGGGUUGGAAAGUUUCGGCGGUUGGGGAUGGACUCGCGGCUUAUCAGCUUGUUGGUUGGGUAGUGGCUUACCAAGGCUUUGACGGGUAGCCGGCCUGAGAGGGUGACCGGCAACAUUGGGACUGAGAUACGGCCCAGACUCCUACGGGAGGCAGCAGUGGGGGAUAUUGCACAAUGGGCGGAAGCCUGAUACAGCAACGCCGCGUGCGGGAUGACGGCCUUCGGGUUGUAAACCGCUUUCGCCUGUGACGAAGCGUGAGUGACGGUAAUGGGUAAAGAAGCACCGGCUAACUACGUG
rnacentral:rRNA from 1 species